AAUACCGUGCAACACAGAGGUCGCCCCAGGCCCGGAAGCCCGGCGACAAUGGGGGAAGACCGGUGGCACCUGCUAAGCGCCCGCUAGGGUGCUGAGCACGUCGAGUCCGGCGCUGUCCCGCAACUGUGAUCUCGGCCCGGCCGAGAGAGCCAGAAGACCCGCCUCUGUGAUGCUCCUGGA
rnacentral:ncRNA from 2 species